rnacentral:rRNA from 1 species
CGCAGGAAACUUGAGAGGACUCGUUCUUAGUACGAGAGGACCGGAAUGAACAUACCUCUGGUGUUUCGGUUGUUCCGCCAGGAGCAUUGCCGAGUAGCCAAGUAUGGAUGAGAUAAACGCUGAAAGCAUAUAAGUGUGAAACUCGCCUCAAGAUAAGGUUUCCCUGAAGGGCACUUGUAGACUACAAGUUUAAUAGGUCAGAAGUGGAAGUGCGGUAACGCAUGCAGCUAACUGAUACUAAUCGCCCGUUCGGCUUGGUCGC